rfam:Ornithorhynchus anatinus chromosome 5, whole genome shotgun sequence.
CCCUUCUCAGAGUCAUAUCUGGGGAGUUUCCAGUACUCUACCAGUCUCGACCUUGUGAGGGAGAGUGAAGCAGAGGCCUACCCAUUCCAUUCCUAGCUUGGGCAGUGGUUAGCGAAUGGAAGGCCAUCUGCUACAAGU